GCCGACCUAGCUCAGUUGGUAGAGCGCGUGGCUUUUAACCACGUGGUCGAGGGUUCGAGUCCCUCGGUCGGCG
rnacentral:tRNA from 2 species